rnacentral:lncRNA from 1 species
AAGAAACUAAAAGACUUAUUAGCUAGCUGAUAUACCCAAACGAAGAAAGCUGAUACCAAAGGGGUUUUCGUCUUCUGCAUCUUCCUCCUCUCAAUCUCUCUCAACCAAAGGGGUUUUCUCCCACUCCUAUAAAACAUUAUCCAUCCAAUUCCAUCAAAUCUCUUGAAUCUAUCCUUAAAUCGCAAAUGUAAACUGAUACCUACCCAAAGCCCUAAUCAGAAAUUAUAUUCUCAAAUUAGGUAUGUGUUUGAAUCAUAAAAAUAAUUCUGGGUUUUUCUGAUUUGAGCUUUCGAUUUCGGAGAAAGGUAAGUUUUUUACUUAAUUUUCUUUUGUUUAUGAUUUUUGGGGUUUUGAUUUAAGGUGAUUUGAUAGCUGGUAUUUUUUACGCGAUUCUUUGGACGCGAAAGAGCAGUUUUCAACUGAUUCUUUUGUUCUUUACGCGAUUCUUUGUUCUUUACACGAUUUUGUUUUUUCCCUUUUUGUUUAUUUGGUUGGUUUAUUUAUUGUCUUUUUUUUACUGUGCUUGUUUAUUUGGUUGGUUUAUUUUUAUUUUGAUUUUUAAGUAUGAUUAAUUUGAUUUUUGAUCCACAAUUGAAUCUCCAAAUGCAAAAACUGCUUUUACAACUACGUUUUUAAGUACAUGCAGCUAGCGAGAAUGAUUAUUUCUUCUAUUUCACCUUUAAUUUCUCUGACCCAUUUGAAAAUAUACAGGAAUCAGAAGUAAUUUUUCUUGAAUAGCCAUCGCCUGAAGCCCUUUCUGAGUGUCGACUGCUCUUUCGCUGGGUAAGUUGAAAACUUCUUUAGUUUCUCAUUUUAAACAAUAGGGAUUUGAGACCUCACAUUGAUUGGAAAGAUGGUCAAUGGUUUACUAAUGCUCGGGUAUGGUCCCUUUGAAUUCCUUUGGUUUUCAGGUCCUGUUGUUGCUUUUAUUAAAUCAGUCUACUAUUAUAUUCUUUCUUUCCGAGUGGUCAUAAUGGCGGGUAGUAGUUCUAUUGGUAGCUUGUAUAAUCCAUCUACUGUUGUAAGUUGUAAAUAGCAAUGCACCAGUUUAAUGUUGCAGCUGCCGCCUCCCCCCUUCCCCAAGUAACAAACCAAGCCAAUGUGAGUGAAAUCUGUUUAUUUAAGUUGAAACAUGAAAGCAGUGAAUGCAUCUCUAUUGAUGUUAUCUUCAUGCUCUAACAAUGUGAUCUUAUAUUUUUUUCUUCGGAAAAGGUCCAAAAAUAUCCUUGAACUAUUCAAAAUAGCUCAAAAAUAUCCUCCGUUUGUUUUUGGUGCCAAAAAUAUCCCUAGUCUAUGUUUUGGCCCAAAAAUGCCCCUAAACCGUUAGUUUUGCCACUAAAGCUGACAUUAGUCCAA